UACAGAGGGGGCAAGCGUUGUUCGGAAUUACUGGGCGUAAAGGGCGCGUAGGCGGCCUGUUAAGUCGAACGUGAAAUCCCCGGGCUCAACCCGGGAACUGCGUCCGAUACUGGCAGGCUUGAAUUCGGGAGAGGGAUGUGGAAUUCCAGGUGUAGCGGUGAAAUGCGUAGAUAUCUGGAGGAACACCGGUGGCGAAGGCGGCAUCCUGGACCGAUAUUGACGCUGAUGCGCGAAAGCCAGGGGAGCAAACCGG
rnacentral:rRNA from 1 species